CUAGGAUUUCUGUUCCUUUAGAUUUUUGGUUUUUUCCCCUUUCCUUUUUUAAAAAAAUAGUUUUAAGUUGUUUUUACCUAUCUGCCUUAUUUUACUCUUUAUAAUUUAUUAUGAAUCUGUGGAAGUUUACCAACAUAACCUUCUCCUCUGCCAAUCUCUUAUUAGACGGGAACUAUGACCAACUUAAGUACUUUUCAACAGUAUAAAUAUCACACUAGGAAGCUUGCCUCCUCCUCAUUUCUUCAACAGCAUUGGCAGUUAUUACUGAAGUAUAGCCCACUGAUUUUAAUCCUAAAUGAGAUUACUUGGUGAGAAAAGAGAUAUCAGUAAAUUCAAACAAAAGAACACUGACC
rnacentral:lncRNA from 1 species